AGGGCUUUUUUUUUCCAGGAUGACAGUGGUAUGAGCUGCGAAUAAUGGCCGGCAAAACAUAGCAGCUCUCUAGCUCAGAUCAGCACGACCGGCAGACAUGACAUAAAUGGGCAGGGCCUGUGGAGCGUGACCCCGAGGAGUUCUCUGCAUUAAUCAUGAGCGCCGGCCGGGACACCCGACGGGCCCGGGACAUUCCUGGGACCACUUGCCGCUGGGCAGGUGAAAUUCAGAAAGCUGGCCCGUCUCUGCUGUGAAGCCAAGUCUUUGUCUCAGUGCAACCGAGUCUGCUUCAGGAACAGAGACGUGGAGUCUUUGUGCUGGGAGAGAGACCUGGGGCCGCUGCCCCACAACACUCCACCUGCCAGCUGUUCCCCGCGGCCUGCAGGAGCCCGUCAGCACGCUCAAGCCUAUCAGAGCAAUCGCUCGGCGGCCCACACAAUAGAUCCGUUUACUAAAACUGAAGCUGUCUCCCCUGUUUAAUGACUAUGAGAAGAAAGCUGUGGCUACUGUACCGGUUCUUCAUGGGUAAUUUUUAAAUGAAUGAGGAACUUUCCAGGCCUUUCUGUACUACUGUAUGCCUGCAAAAUAGAGUCAGAGUUUAGUCAACAAACUUCACUGAGUCAGAGCAAUAUUGAUUCUCUUUGAAGAAUAUUUGACUUUUUUGUUUACAUUUUGCAUUUCAUUUCUUAUGACUUUGUUUUCUUCAAAAUUUUCUGAAAAUCUAUAAUACAUUUUAAAUACAGAUAUGUGAAAAUUUUUUAUUUCACAAUUCAAUAAAAAGUCAUUUUUGUUGUUGUUUUGUUUUGUUUUAGGAAGAGCGAGUUUUGUGUUAAACCAUUUUGCUUGGAUUUGUGACUAAAGAUAAAUCACAUAAGAUCUUUUUAACUUCUUUUGUGUUUCACGGUCACUUAUGAAAGAAAUGUCUUUGGUCCCACUACAUAAUUGACUUUAUGUUGAGACUGUAAUACAUUGUCAAUUACCUGAAUGUCUCCCUGUAACAAGUAUGUACACCAUACAGGUUUUAAUCAUUAUAAUAGACUGGAAAAAUGUACCUGGUAUUGCUGAUAAUAUAAUUGUAAGUAGUUAUAUUAAGAAUUUCUGUGUGCCAAUAUAUUGGCACUCUUUUUUCUUAAUUACAUUUUUGCUAUUUUAAAACUUUGUUUUCUUUGAAAAGUUGUUUUAAUCCAUUAAAUAACCUAUAAUUUGUGGAAAAUGUUUUUCCUAAAUUGUAUUU